rnacentral:sRNA from 1 species
ACAUGGAUUUUGCCGAUUGAAACAUUUGAAUCGCAGUAAUCUAGAAGUCUGAACCAAUUAAACCGUACCACCAUCAAUACAUUUUGAAAUUUACAAUGGUUUCUUCUUCUUCUUUCAUUCCCCUUUAUGGAUCAACCCGACCGGAUUCACUUCUUUCAAUGAGUUUCUCUGAUUUCGUUUGUUAUUUCACUUGCAUCAUCCUUGAUUAGCUUUAUGUAUAUCGGAUUAGGAGUUAUAGAAGAAAUGGUCAUAUAAUUAAUCAUUCUUUUGCAGUACUUGGAGUUAUCAGAUUUUUGAUUAAUAGUUUUGUGGCAUAUGGUUCUCACUUCAUUGGUGAAUCGAUGGAUGUGCUUUAUUUGUAGGAUUACAAUGAAAUCGUCUGUUGCAUUUAGGCCUUCACAUAAUUGAUGCAACUUAAGACAUGUACAUUAGUACAUAGUCAGAUCACUUCAGGAGGUCUUCAUCUAGAGAGACCAUUGAAAGAGUGGCUCCUAGAGCUUUGGCCAAGAAAUUUUUAGAGCAUAUUUAGGAACUGAAGUGUGCAAGUUUUCUGAUUGCACCUGAAUUGUUUCAAUAUAGAAAUUAAUAUCGUCAGGUGUCCUGAUCUCGAGUUUGCUGAAAAGGUGAUAGCCGCAUUUGUUGAUGGGCUUUGGUACACCUGUUUUCAAUAAACUCGAAGACUGAACUGGCAAAAGCAUGUAUGUCGUUGCCUGCAAACAAAAGGCUCUGAGUUUGGAAGUGGCUUUGCAGAUAAUGAGCACAACAGAAAAUUCUUUCAAAGACACUGUUGUUCUGGUGGAAUACAUAGAGAAAUCUCAAAUGUUUGCUCUUGAGGAAACUGGUGACAAUUGGGAAGGAAAAUGCAUAGCAGAGAAACAAACUGAGCGUCUUGAACUCAAAUUAUCAAAUGCGGAAGCUAAUCAGAUUGAUGAGAAAAAGAAAAAAAAAGGUAGAAUAUAAGACAGAAUUCCUGUAGAUGUCUAUUUGGUAGACUCUGCAUCGAGAAAGAGACGUUAUGGCUGGUGAUUCUGAAAGGGAACUUGUCUUUGAAGAAGACAGGAACUAAAGAAUCAUUCUAGUAUCAUUCCCUGCUGCUACUGUAUGGAUCUCUUUUUUAUAUACAUUUAUUUGCACAGCUUUAAGCUAAACAACAAUCAAAGAGUGAACAUAAUAUGUGUUUAGCAUAGCUGUGGUUAU